GUCCACGCCGUAAACGAUGGAUACUAGCUGUUGGGGGCAACUUCAGUGGCUAAGCGAAAGUGAUAAGUAUCCCACCUGGGGAGUACGUUCGCAAGAAUGAAACUCAAAGGAAUUGACGGGGGCCCGCACAAGCGGUGGAGCAUGUGGUUUAAUUCGAUGAUACGCGAGGAACCUUACCAAGGCUUAAAUGUAGUCUGACAGAUUUGGAAACAGAUUUUUCUUCGGACAGAUUACAAGGUGCUGCAUGGUUGUCGU
rnacentral:rRNA from 1 species